GCCACCACCGUCUCCAU
rnacentral:sRNA from 1 species